rnacentral:lncRNA from 1 species
AGAGUGAAUUGUGAUGCGUUGGAAUGAAUUUCGGAGAUAAACAAGUGUUUCGGCGCAAAUUGGGCGCGAACGAAAAAUAAAGAGAAUUUCGGAUUCCCGACGCUAACUUUGAUUAAAAGAAUUAAAGUAAAGCGCAAGGAUAAAUUGUGGCAUCUCCGAAUUAAUUGUGAAGCUUUGGAAAAGCUCAGGGCGUGUUUUCAAAGGGUUUGGAAGUAUUCAGUGCGAAGUGGUAAUGCAAAAAGGGAGAAAGUGCAUUGGAGCUGACUUUAUUGCUAAUUCGGCUCCAAUAAUGUCAAAAUGCAAAGGAAUUGCUUCCAAAUGGAAUUGGUAGCUCGUAAAGGUCCCUUGGUAUAUUUUGGACAUGUUUGGAAGAAAUCGGAGUGAAAACGGAAAAUCUAGAAUUUUCUGUAAAGAACGGGACUGAGAAAAUUAGCAGAAAAUGCACAGUGUCAGAAAAUUAUGAAAAUUGGCAGAGAUGUCAGGAACAUUAAUAGAAGGCUAGCUUUGAAGUUUCUGAUUUUUCUGACACCUGUAGAGAGAGAAAUUGCAUAAGGAAGUGAUCAGAUAAAGAUUACAGUGCGGGACAGUUCGCAGUGACCAAACGGGGUCGAAACUGAAAUGUUAAAAUUUCAGUGGACUUGUUAAGGAAAAACGAACAUUCCUGCCAAAUUUGAGCUCAAUCGGACUGUCGGAAGGGCUUACGGAAGAUAUUUACUCCGUGACGCUAAAUGGCUUAAGUCGAGGGGCGUGACAGAUUAAAUGGUAUCAGAGCAUAAAAGAGCAUCACAGAGAAUAAAAGAAACGGUUUAAGCAGACCUAGGAGACCUAGGAUAGUAAACCGUAAGGACUUACGCUCGUGAGUGACGAGGACUUGUGACGUGUGGCGAAAGGAAAAGCGAUUGGGUCAAGUUUAGUAAACCUCUAAGACGGAUAUUAGAGGUAGAUUCAAGGUUCAGUUUAUUCUCAGCCAAGUGAGUUCAUGUUGGGUCGACACAACAUGAAACCGAGGGAUGGGAAUAAGCUUCCUUGCAUGACUUUCGCCCGAUUUGAGUUCGUAUCAGUCGUUUCGUAUUCGGCCUAGAGGGUCGCGGACUGACCGAGUUGUCGUGUCAGGUUCUGGGCGCGUAGGCGAUCUUUGAUUAGAUCGGCGCGGGAUGGGACAAGUGGUGUCCCCGAGUAGAACGAGAAGAGCGGAGACUUGGAGCUUCGCGAGCAGUUGGCCACACUCGUGGGAGUAGUGCGGCAACAAACGGAUGUGGUGCAGCGUCAGCAGAAGGCUGCUUUGCGCCAAGAAGAGCGGAUUAAAAGACUCCAGGAAAUGGUGGAGCAGUUGGUGACUACACCAGUUUCGGCUCGUCGUGUACGGCCGACAGUGGCGACAGAGGCAUUUCCGUCGGGGUCGGGUGCUCCGACUUCUGUUAGUACACAGAUGGAAGGUGAAAGGAAGCGUGCUUUAGCGGCUUUAGUGACUGUCAAGAAGCUGAUGAAAAGCUGAUGAAAAGAGAAAACUUCGGGACAGGUUUCAAAAGUUGCGGCAAGAAGACCGCUCCGUGAGGGAAUGUGAGCGAGAAUUCUCCCGUAUCGUGAGUUGUGUUCCAAGUGUGGUACAAGACGAUAAGGAUCGAGCUGAAUGUUUUGUACGAGGACUUCGGCCUGAUAUUUUCAACACGGUGCACAAUCUCAAGUUACAGACUUUUACUGAAGUCUUGGAUCGGGCUCUAUGGAUAGAGCAAGGUAACGCCUUUGUGCGUGAAGAGCGCGAGUUGGAGGAAUGUAAGCGAGUGAAGCCACUACCAAGUAACUCAGAUGAACAGUCAAGUUUUGGACACCUCUCGACAUCAUCCUCUACUCGAUCCUCCCCACGAUGUGUGAUUUGUGGUGGUUCCCAUUGGGCACGAUGUUGCGUGCAGUGGGAAGGAAAGUGCACUCGAUGUAGACAACCGGAAUACCCAGAUUAUGAGUGCUUGCGAGUGAUAGUAUAUUGGCGACGCCCUUUCCCUUUCUGGGACAACUUGCAAGUGUGCCACCUGCGACACUGUCUGGAGAGCGAAUGAGAAUAAAGCAACCGAGGGGUUCGCGGCGAACGGCGAGUGACCGUGAAUACACAGACCAGGCUGAGAAAUCUGUAACAGCUGGUGAUGACCGGGCAAAUUGGUGCAUUGCAUGUUUGUGUAUGAGGAUAGUAGUGAUUGAUUGUAGAGACCCAAAUAUGCUUGUGUUGUGGAUGCGUAGUACCUGUUGGAACAGGUAGAGAAUCCGAGGGCACUAGCAAAUCGCUGGUGAUAGUGUGAUAAUAGUGGUAGUAGCUGACCAACUCUCAAAUUAAUGUGAGUUGUGGUUUGCCAGAGUCAAGUCACGAUGUUCGUGGAACUUGCGUAAGACUAAGCAUUUUGCAGGUUGUCCUAGUAGAUCGAACAGUGAAAAUAGAAUCACUAUUGCGUCUGGUACGUGCAUGAGGACCUAACAAUAUCUCAAAGUGAGGUCAAUGGGUCGUGCCCGUGUAGUUGAGUGCAUAGGCAAGAGUUGCCUAAUGCGAGAUUCGUGUAGAGCGCUCGAGUGUUGGUGCUCGUAGAGUACAGAUUCGUUUCAGCCGUGAGUGCGUUGGCAGUAGCACUUUAGCAUUGCGAAGUGUGAAGCGUGCCAGAGGUCACUCGUAGGGCUGGUGGCUCGCACUAGGUGCGUAGGAGCCGAUAGUGAUACGUGUGCUCAGUAGAACGUGUCGCGUGAGACGACGUUUGCGGGUAGUGCUUGGGGACAGUCCGUGCCUGGACCACUUGUGGACUGUGGAGCCUGGACCCAUUGGGUAGGCGCAGUCAGCUGUGAGAGACAGCGGCCCGAUACCUGCAGGUAGGGCAGAGAGUUUUGGUCAGGACGGGAGCCCGAGCAUAGACCCGAGUACGUGGAAUGCCACGUGUUGGACCGUGAAAUCGGUGAUGCACACAGAGUGUGUAGUGACCCAACCCGAGGAAUUGUUGUGGUUCGAGGUCUUGUUGCUCCUGGUUGGAGUAUGUGCGAAUUCUCUAAUAAGAAUUUCGCCCAAUAGUGAUAAUUGGGUCUACGCUUACGAGCGAGCGGCAUUAUGUCAUGUCACGGUUGAGUUAGGCAAUCGGCCUAUAUCGGAUCGGUAACUUAUGAACCGAAUUGGGAUGAGUGGUUUAGCCGUAUACCCUGAAAGGGUUGUACACUGGAGUACAUCGAAGGUAUUCAAGUGAAUUAUGUCUAGGGACCGUGAAAGCAAAAGCUUGGUCCUAUGGAUAAAUCAGUCAGAAUUGCUGAGAUAAGCAUCGAUGACGAGUUGAGAUUGGAAAUGCGAACAAAGUGUUCGUAGAAACUGAUUUGGAAAAAAACUCAGUAUAGUAUGGAAUGAAAUUGAGAAAUCUUGAAAUGGUGUUGGAAUUUACCUCCCUCCGUUAAACAAUGAAGAGUAAUAUGUAUCUAAGUUUCGCGGACGAAACUUUUGUUAACGAGGGGAGAAUGUAACAUAUGAGAAUCUGGGAGUUGCGAUGUCAACUUUGACCUAGAAGGUCAAAGUGAGGAGUGAGCUAGUUGGACAUCAUCCUAGAGUGAAUUGUGAUGCGUUGGAAUGAAUUUCGGAGAUAAACAAGUGUUUCGGCGCAAAUUGGGCGCGAACGAAAAAUAAAGAGAAUUUCGGAUUCCCGACGCUAACUUUGAUUAAAAGAAUUAAAGUAAAGCGCAAGGAUAAAUUGUGGCAUCUCCGAAUUAAUUGUGAAGCUUUGGAAAAGCUCAGGGCGUGUUUUCAAAGGGUUUGGAAGUAUUCAGUGCGAAGUGGUAAUGCAAAAAGGGAGAAAGUGCAUUGGAGCUGACUUUAUUGCUAAUUCGGCUCCAAUAAUGUCAAAAUGCAAAGGAAUUGCUUCCAAAUGGAAUUGGUAGCUCGUAAAGGUCCCUUGGUAUAUUUUGGACAUGUUUGGAAGAAAUCGGAGUGAAAACGGAAAAUCUAGAAUUUUCUGUAAAGAACGGGACUGAGAAAAUUAGCAGAAAAUGCACAGUGUCAGAAAAUUAUGAAAAUUGGCAGAGAUGUCAGGAACAUUAAUAGAAGGCUAGCUUUGAAGUUUCUGAUUUUUCUGACACCUGUAGAGAGAGAAAUUGCAUAAGGAAGUGAUCAGAUAAAGAUUACAGUGCGGGACAGUUCGCAGUGACCAAACGGGGUCGAAACUGAAAUGUUAAAAUUUCAGUGGACUUGUUAAGGAAAAACGAACAUUCCUGCCAAAUUUGAGCUCAAUCGGACUGUCGGAAGGGCUUACGGAAGAUAUUU